rnacentral:tRNA from 1 species
AAGAUGCGGAAUGAUCAGACCAGUCUAUGUAAGGUGGUUUCAAGCCUCGCCACCUUACAUAUCC